rnacentral:rRNA from 1 species
GCUGGCGGCAGGCCUAACACAUGCAAGUCGAGCGCACCUUCGGGUGAGCGGCGGACGGGUUAGUAACGCGUGGGAAUAUGCCCAGUUCUACGGAAUAGCCUCGGGAAACUGAGAGUAAUACCGUAUACGCCCUUCGGGGGAAAGAUUUAUCGGAAUUGGAUUAGCC